CCGGGGACUGACGGUUCGAUUUUAGGUCUUUUGUUGUGUUAGUGUGGGUUGUGUUUUGUCUUGUGUUGUGAGUGUGAUGUUCUGUUUUGUGUGUUCGUCAUUGGGUGUUGCAUUUAGGUAGCUUUAGUUGCAUAUUUUCAUUGCAUUCUUCUUUCCCCCCACCCCUUUUUAUAUGUCUACCUAUUUUGGUUAUGUGAGUAAUGUUUCUUCUGCCUGUGUCUAUGAUUAUGAUUCUCCUUC
rnacentral:lncRNA from 1 species